rnacentral:misc_RNA from 1 species
GACGAACCGUGCGGACGUUAUUCGGAAUCACUGGGCCUAAAGGGCGCGUAGACGGGUCGGCGCAUCGGACGCUGAAAUCCCCCGGCUCAACCGGGGGCGGGCGCCGAGAUGGCCGAUCUCGAGCGGAGGAGAGGGGCCUGGAACCCACGGUGGAGCGGUGAAAUGCGUUGAGAUCGUGGGGAACACCGGAGGCGAAGGCGAGGUCCUGGACUCCUGCUGACGUUGAGGCGCGAGAGCCAGGGGAGCGAACGGG